CGAGCCGGCCGGGCGGCCGCGACGGGCCACGUGCCCGUCGAGGAAGGUCCGGGCUCCACAGGGCAGGGUGGUUGCUAACGGCAACCCGGGGUGACCCGCGGGACAGUGCCACAGAGAACAGACCGCCGGCGGUGACGCCGGUAAGGGUGAAACGGUGGUGUAAGAGACCACCAGCGGCCGGGGCGACCCGGUCGGCUUGGCAAACCCCACCCGGAGCAAGGUCAAGAGGGCGCCGGUCUCCGGCGCCUGCGCAGGCGUUCGAGGGCGGCCCGCCCGAGCCUGCGGGUAGGCCGCACGAGCCCGCCGGUGACGGCGGGCCUAGAUGGAUGGUCGCCACCCGGGGUACGCCGCGGGUACAGAACCCGGCAUACAGGCCGACUCGUCCG
rnacentral:RNase_P_RNA from 1 species